AAUCACAGAACUCACAUGCCGGAUGUGGUUGGAAGGAAUCCACCUCAGUGGAUUAUCUGGUCCAAGCCCCCUGCUCAAGCAGGGCCAUUCCAGAGCACAGGGCGCAGGAUUGUGUCCAGGCCAGCAUUCUCUUGACUUCUUUGCCACAGCAGCAACACACUGCUCACUCUAUUGAGUGAGCAAUUGUUGUCCUCCUGCACUCCGAGGUCCCUUUUCGCAGUGCUGCUCUCCAGCCAGGUGUUUGUCUACCCGGUAAAAUCACCACAUAACAACACAAUUGGCAGCUUCUCUUCAGCAGAAGCGGAUUAUGAUGGCAGGUCAAGGCUAACACAUACUGCAGAACUUUGUGGUUAAGUUCAUAAUUCCUCUUCUGACUUCCCAUUUCUAAAAAAUCUCUUACCAUGAUUAUUCCAGAAUUCAUAUUUUCUGCUUACAAAACUACAUAAUAGGCUAAAUAAAAGAAAGCUAUGUAUACUUUGUGAUAAUAUCUUAAAGUAUUGUAAUCACUCCAUACCUGGUAUUAUUAGACAGUGAAAUAGUUUAUACUCUCCUCUCAUAACAGUUGUAGUCAGCCCCUGCAAAUAU